rnacentral:piRNA from 1 species
UUGCAGAGAGUGGGAGGCAUACAUCACC